rnacentral:rRNA from 1 species
AAGGAUCAUUAUCCAUCUCAAUCAGGUGCGGUUGCGGCCACUUGGGGGUUACCUCAGUUGGUUAAACCAUGGUGAAAGCCGUGGGGACGCGCCGCAUUCCUGCAUCCUUUUUUUACGAGCACCUCUGUUCUCCUUCGGCGGGGCAACCCGCCGCUGGAACUUUAUAAACCUUUUUUUGCAUCUAGCAUUACCUGUUCUGAUACAAACAAUCGUUACAACUUUCAACAAUGGAUCUCUUGGCUCUGGCAUCGAUGAAGAACGCAGCGAAAUGCGAUAAGUAGUGUGAAUUGCAGAAUUCAGUGAAUCAUCGAAUCUUUGAACGCACAUUGCGCCCCUUGGUAUUCCAUGGGGCAUGCCUGUUCGAGCGUCAUCUACACCCUCAAGCUCUGCUUGGUGUUGGGCGUCUGUCCCGCCUCUGCGUGCGGACUCGCCCCAAAUUCAUUGGCAGCGGUUUUUGCCUCCUCUCGCGCAGCACAUUUGCGUCUGUUAGGGGGCGUGGCCCGCGUCCACGAAGCAACAUUACCGUCUUUGACCUCGGAUCAGGUAGGGAUACCCGCUGAACUUAA